CUACGGGUCGCUGCAGUAAGGAAUAUUGCGCAAUGGAGGCAACUCUGACGCAGCCAUGCCGCGUGCAGGAAGAAGGCCUUAUGGGUCGUAAACUGCUUUUAUUUAGGAAUAAACCCCCGAACGUGUUCGGGGCUGAAGGUACUAAACGAAUAAGCACCGGCUAACUCCGUGCCAGCAGCCGCGGUAAUACGGAGGGUGCAAGCGUUAUCCGGAUUUAUUGGGUUUAAAGGGUGCGCAGGCGGGCUAUUAAGUCAGCGGUGAAAUCCCGGGGCUCAACUCCGGAACUGCCAUUGAUACUGAUAGUCUUGAGUUUGGUUGAAGUGGGCGGAAUGUAGCAUGUAGCGGUGAAAUGCAUAGAUAUGCUACAGAACACCAAUCGCGAAGGCAGCUCACUAAGCCAAAACUGACGCUCAUGCACGAAAGCGUGGGGAUCAAACAGGAUUAGAUACCCGAGUAGUC
rnacentral:rRNA from 1 species